CUCUGGUUUAACAUUGAUGAGAAUGAACAAUUAAUAACAAAGUUUUCUUUCCAUUGAAGGAGAAUGAACAGUUGAAAUGUAAACCACAGGUCUUCACAUGAACUUCUGGAAUCCAAACUUGACACUCUGUGCAUGUUGUUUCUAUAUAUCUAGGCUUGUUUCUAUAUAUCUAGGCUUUGAUGUCAACAACUUUGAAUAUGGAAAUAGGGGUAAAUAGUCUAUCCAGAUUAGAAGAGGGAUCCCUGUAACUGCUAUGCCACUUUCACAAUUCCCCACCUCCAAAAAAUAAAAAUAACUGAAAUGAAAAUGUUUUUACAAUUACAUUAUCACUAAUUUCAAAACCUUCAGCAGAUGUUCUUUUCAUGAGUAUGAUUCUCAAUUUGGCACCUAACACGAUAUCAUAUCCACUUGAUUCCGCACCAUACUGGCCAAAAAAUUAAUCAAGUGUAGGAGCAGCUACAAAAUGUCCUGGCAGACCACCCUUACGUCCUUGCUAUACAUCUCAACUGUUUGAAGUUGAUGAAUCAGUCAAUGGUAUCGAUUCAGCAGGUUGUGAUUUAUCAGGACUACCUUGGGAAGCUUCCUUCUUCAACUUGUGAUUAUUAUAUGCAGCUACGCCAGCAAUUGCAAUGCAGUAGCCAAACAGGUUUAUGACUGUGAGCUUUGUAUCAGCAAAUAGAAGGGCAGAUAGCAAGACAACAAUCCAAUCCUUCACAACUCCAGCCACACGAAUAGUCAGAGCACUGGUAUGCGAGAUCACAAGGAAAACUGAUAGGUUAAGUGCAAAUGUACAAAGAGAAUUCAGUGUUAGCACAAGAGGCUGAAAGUUCCAUGAAUGUGUUUCCAUCCUUGGUUUCUCUAGAAAGAUCCAAGGAAUAAACAGGCAAAGGGCACUGCAAGGAAAACCAACAACCAAAAACAGGCAUGCUUAUAAUUUUUUUCCUACAUGAAACUAGAAGCAAAUGCUUCCAAAAUGAUGUUUACAAGAAAAACAUAAUACUUGCCUGCAGGGACUAACAUAAUACAUAACAGAUAUAGGAUUUAAUUUCAAACCCUUCCUUUUCACUAGAAUCUCCAUGAAAAUAAGUCUCAAGGCUUCUCCAACAACUCCACCCAUCUGAUACACAACUCCAAUCCAGCUGAUAUUUAUCUCUCCAUAAGAAGCCACAAGAACACCAAUGCUGAUCACUGACAUUAUUAACAGCAUUCUGCAACUCAUCACCUCAAGUCCAGCAGCCACUCCAAGAACGAAAACAGCAACUGGCACUGCAAAUCUCAUUAAAAAAAUUAAUUCAUGUCACAAGUGCCCACACUGACACAGGUCCAAAGGAAAUCUAGUACUCAUUGGCUAACCAAAUAUCUUAUUUUCCACCAAAGAAAGCAAUAAUAGAAUCUUGCAUCAUAUGCAAUUUUGGAAUAGAUCCAGAUAAGUACUUUGACAAAUAAUAUUAAUUUAUUGAGAAUGGCUGCCUUAGCGGAUCAAAGACAUAAACAAUGAACACUUACUAAUAGCCUUCAACAUUUGUGCAAAAGCCACAGAUAUAUACAGGUAGGCAGUGUUUCCCAGCCAAAGAGUCAUUGCAAACAUUGCACCUAUUGGAACAACUGAUGUUGUGUAUAUUUCUACUGUCAUUCCAUCCUCAACUUUCAUAACCUUGAAAACUUUCGUCAGUAUAAAACACAAAACAGAAGAGAAGACCAUGUGCAGUAGAGUCAAUCCAAGAGGAUAAGGAAAGUUUACUUCCUUAGAUGACAAAACCCACUUGUUCAAGAAUAUCUGCCCACUAGAGAAAGCGAA
rnacentral:misc_RNA from 1 species